rnacentral:rRNA from 1 species
GACGAACGCUGGCGGCGUGCUUAACACAUGCAAGUCGAACGGAAAGGCCCUGCUUUUGUGGGGUGCUCGAGUGGCGAACGGGUGAGUAACACGUGAGUAACCUGCCCUUGACUUUGGGAUAACUUCAGGAAACUGGGGCUAAUACCGGAUAGGAGCUCCUGCUGCAUGGUGGGGGUUGGAAAGUUUCGGCGGUUGGGGAUGGACUGGCGGCUUAUCAGCUUGUUGGUGGGGUAGUGGCUUACCCAGGGUUUGACGGGUAGCCGGCCUGAGAGGGUGAACGGGCACAUUGGUACUGAGAGACGGCCCAGACUCCUACGGGAGGCAGCAGUGGGGAAUCUUGCACAGUGGGCGGGAGCCUGAUGCAGCAACGCCGUGUGCGGGAUGACGGCCUUCGGGGUGUAAACCGCUUUCGCCUGUGACGAAGCGUGAGUGACGGUAAUGGGUAAAGAAGCACCGGCUAACUACGUG